CAGUCGACUACGAAAAAACAAAAACACCCAUUUCCUUCGUUUUAGGGUUGGUUUGGCAUUGAGCCAGUCCCACCUGUUGCUCAGGUAUGAACAGCAACAGGUAGAAAUAACGUCAUAAGCAGAGAGGCAACCAUCAUUGUCUGUCCUUCUCUGGAAAGUGAAAGCUUACUUGUGUUUAUAAUUUACACAACGAAUCGAUGGAUAACAGGUAGACAUAAUUCAUUAAAGGUUGAAAGGUGGAAUAACACCACAAAAUGAUGACCUUCCCUAGGACUUCGAAACGUUACUUUGACUUGGGAGUUGUUUCUUGUUCGGUAGGUGGAUUGUUUUUUAGCAUUGGAGUCAUACUAGUUGUCAUUGGAUCAUCGCCACAAGAACCAGAAGCUUUGUGGAUCGCUGGAAUUGUUCUUCUAUUAUUUGGAGGAAUGUUGUUUUUUUUGGGAAUCGGUUCGAUUGGUUUGUAUUUGGCUAUGGAAGACAAAAGGCGGAAGACCGAAACUCGUAAUGCAGAUCGGCAAUAUGCAGCUAGUUUGAAAGGCUCCAGUGAGUUAAUUAUAGCGGAAAAACCUUAGAAAAAUGUACUUUCAAGCAUGGUUAAACGCUUAUGGCUUAUAAAGCUAUCUAUACAAUAAUAAGAAUAGCAUGCCAGAAGUUCGCUCGAAUAUAUAAACUUCUGGUUAAAUCGAUGUAACCAUUAAGAUAAAUGCAUUACUUAAAAUGAAAUUGCACCUGUUAUUGACCUUAAAAUUUAAUUCCGAUAACGUUGCAGACAUUUAUGGAUAUAUUUAAUUGUUUAUAAUAAUUUUUUAAAUUUACUGUUUUAUUUUAUUUUUUUUUUUUAAAUAAAUAAUAGUAUACGAAUAUAUAAUUGUUGUGUAAAAUUUACAUAUGUUUUCUUAUAUAUGUGCUUAUAAUAUUAGUUUAAUCGUUAUUACAUAUUGAAGUAUUACCAAUGUAACUGUAUUGCUGUUAAUUAAAUUUUACUAUAAUAAUGUUAAUUUUCGAAUUUAUAUUUAAAUGGUUUAUGAAAUUUUAAAUUAUUCAAUAAAUUAAUACUGAUAAAUGACACUUAUCUCACUAAAAAGACUGUUUAAAAACUAGAUUCUACUACUUGGACAAUGGUUCUAAACCGGUCUGCCAUGAAAGAGGUGCCACAAAAUUUUAUGUGUACUUUUUUAAACAUUAUUUGUACAUUUUCUAUGUAGAAAAAUGCAGGUUUUUUUAUAAGUUAUAAGGACUUUUUGAUAUUACGCAGUCUCUCGUCAGUAUGCCAUCAAAAAUUGUGCACCACUAACUGAAAAAUAUUGAAAAUUACUCAGUUAAUUCACUAUUAUUUUUUACUCUUUCUGCCUACGGGCACUAAAAAAGCAUUUUUCAGGCCCAUCGUUGAUUCGGGCAGGCCCACAAUUAAGUUGGGUGGCGAGGAAAAAGGGCUCUCAUCACACGACUUAAUUUUUAAAUAUAUUCUUGUUUUUAGAAUUUUAAAUUUUCAUUUUAAAUGAGAAUAUUCACUUGUAUGUGUACAGUAAAAAUAUAUAUAAUUUUUGUUUUUUCAAUUUUUAAAGUAUGUAUUCGUAUGAGGGGAAGCAUAUCAAAUUGAUACUGAUAUGAAACAGUGUGAGACAGUUAAAUAAAAAUUAAAGCGGAAGAAUCAACUUCCGUCUCAAUCUCUAGUUAUUUCCAUUUUAACUUUUUAAUAAUUUUUAUUUUUUUUCGUGUCAACGUCGUCAUGGAUGGUCAGUCGAAUUCAACAGGUUAUCAUAGAGGUCAUUAGAAAAAUUAA
rnacentral:lncRNA from 1 species